UAGAUUUCAAUUGUGUAAUUGUUCAUGCUUUAUUCAGUUGUAAGAUCAUGCAGGCCUUUACUCCUUCAAGGAAUUCAAAUCAGUGCGCAAUCGGCAGAUGUUGGCAUAAAAUGGAACCGUAUAAAAAAUCUGGGAACUUUUUUCCAAUUUCUGCCAAUCAUGGCGUUAAUUCAAAGUCCUUUAAAAGGAGUGUAGUGUCCAAGGUUUUGAAAGACCUCGAGAUAUUCUGGCGAGUUCCUCGAAAUCUGAGUAUAAUGGGUCAUAAAAGGGUUGUAUCGUCGAAGAAAUACCUUGCAAGUCUGCAGUUUUGCGGGAUGCUUCACCUAAACAAGGGUCCUAAAGUGCCACACCCUGGCCAGGCAGUGUUCCCUUACCUGGCCACCACACAUGGGAGCUAAAGAUAUUGAGGGAAGGGCGGUGACAUAAGAUGGCCCAGUGGGCACAUCCCUCCAUUGGCCGGGUUGUCAUCUACUAGCUGUUCUGGUGUACUGAGGUUUCAGACGCAAAUUGGUUUCUGCUCCAAGGACCAGCCACAGAAGUCGAGGUCAGACGAGGGAUACAAGGAACUCAGGGAUACAAGGGGCCCAUUAUACAAGGGACACAGGAUACAAGGGCCACGGGAUACAAGUUUACCUCAAACGACCAAAGAAAAUAGGUCAAAGUGAUUUUCUUGCUGACAUAUUACAUGUGGUUAUAAGGUGUUCCCCGUGACACCAACUUUAUGACUAUCUGGCCCGUAGUUAAAGAAUGACAGCACUGACAAACAAUGACAAUGAAAGGUGAGACGCGCUGCCGUAUUGCAAAGAUUUGCAGUACCUGUGAGCCAAACAUGCAAGGCAAUCCAGCAUGACAAGGAAAGCUGACACACGCUGCCUUAUUGCAAAGACUCGCAGUACCUGUGAGCCAAACAUGCAAGGCAAUCCAGCAUGACAAGGAAAGCUGACACACACUACCGUAUUGCAAAGACCCGCAGUACCUGUGAGCCAAACAUGCAAGGCAAUCCAGCAUGACAAGGAAAGCUGACACACACUACCGUAUUGCAAAGACUCGCAGUACCUGUGAGCCAAACAUGCAAGGCAAUCCAGCAUGACAAGGAAAGCUGACACAGGCUACCGUAUUCCAAAGACUCGCAGUACCUGUGAGCCAAACAUGAAAGGCAAUCCAGCAUGACAAGGGAAGCUGACACAGGCUACCGUAUUGCAAAGACUCGCAGUACCUGUGAGCCAAACAUGAAAGGCAAUCCAGCAAGAAGUUAAGGAAUAUUACCACUACUUUGUUAUUUGGAUUAGCAGUGAUUGAGAUUAGACAAAAAAGUAGUGUCCAAGAUCAAUUGACCCCAAGGUACGAUGCUAUCUCCUGGUUUUCCUCCUUUUUUGGGCUUUCAGAGUGGUGCAGGAGAUUACAUACAUAAAGUCAUUAUAAACAUUAGCGCCCUCUGAUUGUGUAGGUUUUACCCGGCUUGCGGGUUUCCUCCUACAGGACAUUCCAAGUCACCAUAUGUCAUCCUUGGAAUGAAGUACAACAAUAAAGAAUUUGAA